rnacentral:rRNA from 1 species
UACGUAGGUGGCAAGCGUUGUCCGGAUUUACUGGGCGUAAAGCGUGCGCAGGCGGUUGGCCAAGUCAGCUGUGAAAGCCCCGGGCUCAACCUGGGAAUGGCGGUUGAAACUAGUCGACUCGAAUCUGGCAGAGGGGGGUGGAAUUCCACGUGUAGCAGUGAAAUGCGUAGAGAUGUGGAGGAACACCGAUGGCGAAGGCAGCCCCCUGGGCUGAGAUUGACGCUCAGGCACGAAAGCGUGGGGAGCAAACAGG